ensembl:lncRNA
GUCCGGACCGGGCUGCCUGCGUCCGCUCCACUCGGCGCCGCGCCCCGCGCCCCGCGCCCGACCGUCGCUUCCCGCCUCCCCGCAGCUCCCUCCCCGCAACCCGCGGCGCGUGCGCACGAGAGUUACGCGGGGCAUCCUCCGGCGCCCAGACCCGGAGUUUGUUCGGCCUACCCGACCGGCGCUCUUGCGUCCGACAGACCCAGAAUACCGGGAGCACAGGGCGCCCUCCCCGCGCUUCCAUCCAGCGGGGCACCGGGCGCGUCCACUCUGAAUUCCCGUACUAGGGCGUCGCGGGAGACCACUGCGGCAGUGACGUCAGCUGAUCUCGGGGGCUCGAUCCUCCCGCUACCUCACAGUUUAUGCCCUACCAAGGCAAGGCUCCAGUGGCUUCCCUUGGCAGGUGAGGCCCCAGGCCUUCCAGGCCUGCAGGGCAGAAAAAGGGACCAAAGACUUCUGUGUGAAGUGAAAUUCUCCUACCAAGAAAAUGAGAAAUGAUGAUAUUGAGAAGACAAAGGUGGCAAAGAGACCAAAAGUUCCCCUGGCCAACCAUCGCCCUUCUUUGUUAGUGUUUGCUGGUUAAUAUGUAGGAAAAGCUUUCAACCUGUUUUGGACCCGCAUGGUGGAAGAGACAACAACCUACUCCCACAAUUGUCCUCUGACCUCUACAUGUGUAAAGUGACAUUUGCUCUCAAGCAGUAAGAAGAUCCUCCUACAGUGGGUGGCACCAUUUUCCUGGCUGCAAUCUUGGACUGUAUAAAAUGGAGAAGGUGAGCCAACAUACGAGCUCCAUCCUUUGCUUACUGACUGCAGUUGCAAUGUGACCCGCAGCUUCCAGCUUCUUCUGUCUUGACUUCCUUCCCAUGACGAACUGUACCUGGAAAUGAGCCAUAAAAAUACCCAACCUCUCUCCCUUAAGCUACUUUCAUUGUGGCAUUUUGUCACAGCAUCUGGAAAACAAACUAAUGGUCUUGAUAAUGUAACAGCUGACACUGUCUGGGCAGGAGGAGAUAAGGAAACCAGAGCCCAGAAGAGGAAAUUUACCAGAAUCUUAACAUUUAUCGGGAAGAAAGCAGAAAAUAAGCUCUGUCAAAAUACACAACAACCGAUGAAUAGAUAAGUAAAUUGUAGAACAUAAAGAUUAUGGAAUAUUACUUACCCUAUGGAAGAAUGGAAUGCUGAUAUUUGUAAUAAUUCAUGUGAACCUUGAAAGCACCGUACUAUAUGAAAUAAACAGAAAGGGACACAGUGUU